rnacentral:rRNA from 1 species
UGGGGAAUUUUGGACAAUGGGCGAAAGCCUGAUCCAGCAAUGCCGCGUGAGUGAAGAAGGCCUUCGGGUUGUAAAGCUCUUUUGUCAGGGAAGAAACGGUGGUUUCUAAUACAGAUCACUAAUGACGGUACCUGAAGAAUAAGCACCGGCUAACUACGUGCCAGCAGCCGCGGUAAUACGUAGGGUGCAAGCGUUAAUCGGAAUUACUGGGCGUAAAGCGUGCGCAGGCGGUUAUGUAAGACAGAUGUGAAAUGCCCGGGCUUAACCUGGGAACUGCAUUUGUGACUGCAUGGCUAGAGUUUGGCAGAGGGGGGUAGAAUUCCACGUGUAGCAGUGAAAUGCGUAGAUAUGUGGAGGAACACCGAUGGCGAAGGCAGCCCCCUGGGUCAAGACUGACGCUCAUGCACGAAAGCGUGGGGAGCAAACAGG